CCUACGGGAGGCAGCAGUGAGGAAUAUUGGUCAAUGGGCUUACGCCUGAACCAGCCAAGUCGCGUGAGGGAAGACUGCCCUAUGGGUUGUAAACCUCUUUUGUCAGGGAGCAACGCCGGCUACGUGUAGCCGGACUGAGAGUACCUGAAGAAAAAGCAUCGGCGAACUCCGUGCCAGCAGCCGCGGUAAUACGGAGGAUGCGAGCGUUAUCCGGAGUUAUUGGGUUUAAAGGGUGCGUAGGCGGAAUGCCAAGUCAGCGGUAAAAUCGCGGGGCUCAACCUCGCUCCGCCGUUGAAACUGGCGUUCUUGAGUGGGAGAGAAGUAUGCGGAAUGCGUGGUGUAGCGGUGAAAUGCAUAGAUAUCACGAAGAACUCCGAUUGCGAAGGCAGCAUACCGGCGCCCAACUGACGCUGAAGCACGAAAGCGUGGGUAUCGAACAGGAUUAGAUACCCCAGUAGUC
rnacentral:rRNA from 1 species